GGCAGCAGCCGCGGGAACACCGGCAGCUCGUAGUGGUAGCAAUUUUAUUGGGCCUAAAGCGUCCGUAGCCGGUUUAAUAAGUCUCUGGUGAAAUCCUGCAGCUUAACUGUGGGAAUUGCUGGAGAUACUAUUAGACUUGAGACCGGGAGAGGUUAGAGGUACUCCCAGGGUAGAGGUGAAAUUCUGUAAUCCUGGGAGGACCGCCUGUUGCGAAGGCGUCUAACUGGAACGGUUCUGACGGUGAGGGACGAAAGUUAGGGGCGCGAACCGGAUUAGAUACCCGGGUAGUCCUAACUGUAAACGAUGCGGACUUGGUGUUGGGGUGGCUUUGAGCUGCUUCAGUGCCGAAGGGAAGCUGUUAAGUCCGCCGCCUGGGAAGUACGGUCGCAAGACUGAAACUUAAGGAAUUGGCGGGGGAGCACCACAACGCGUGGAGCCUGCCGGUUUAAUUGGAUUCAACGCCGGACAUCUCACCAGAGGCGACAGCUGUAUGAUAGCCAGGUUGAUGACUUUGCUUGACUAGCUGAGUGGAGGUGCAUGG
rnacentral:rRNA from 1 species